UACAGAGGUCUCAAGCGUUGUUCGGAUUCAUUGGGCGUAAAGGGUGCGUAGGCGGCGCGGUAAGUCGGGUGUGAAAUCUCGGGGCUUAACUCCGAAACUGCAUUCGAUACUGCGGUGCUUGAGGACUGGAGAGGAGACUGGAAUUCAUGGUGUAGCAGUGAAAUGCGUAGAGAUCAUGAGGAAGACCAGUGGCGAAGGCGGGUCUCUGGGCCGAUACUGACGCUGAGGAGCGAAAGCGUGGGGAGCGAACAGG
rnacentral:rRNA from 1 species